rnacentral:tRNA from 1 species
GGGGCGGUAGCUCAGUUGGUAGAGCAGCGGACUCAUAAUCCGUCUGGUCGUGGGUUCGAGUCCCACCCGCCCCA